ACUCAAAUGAAUUGACGGGGACCCGCACAAGCGGUGGAUGAUGUGGUUUAAUUCGAUGCAACGCGAAAAACCUUACCUACCCUUGACAUGCCUCGAACCUCGCAGAGAUGUGAGGGUGCCCGAAAGGGAGCGAGGACACAGGUGCUGCAUGGCUGUCGUCAGCUCGUGUCGUGAGAUGUUGGGUUAAGUCCCGCAACGAGCGCAACCCUUACCAUUAGUUGCUACGCAAGGGCACUCUAAUGGGACUGCCGGUGACAAACCGGAGGAAGGUGGGGAUGACGUCAAGUCCUCAUGGCCCUUAUGGGUAGGGCUACACACGUCAUACAAUGGCUGGUACAGAGGGUUGCCAACCCGCGAGGGGGAGCUAAUCCCAUAAAACCAGUCGUAGUCCGGAUCGCAGUCUGCAACUCGACUGCGUGAAGUCGGAAUCGCUAGUAAUCGCGGAUCAGCAUGUCGCGGUGAAUACGUUCCCGGGUCUUGUACACACCGCCCGU
rnacentral:rRNA from 1 species